UACAGAGGUCCCAAGCGUUGUUCGGAUUCACUGGGGCGUAAAGGGUGCGUAGGUGGUGAGGUAAGUCGGAUGUGAAAUCUCCGAGCUCAACUCGGAAAUGGCAUUGGAAACUACCUUGCUCGAGGGUUGGAGGGGGGACUGGAAUGCUUGGUGUAGCAGUGAAAUGCGUAGAUAUCAAGCGGAACACCAGUGGCGAAGGCGAGUCCCUGGACAACUCCUGACACUGAGGCACGAAAGCUAGGGGAGCAAACAGG
rnacentral:rRNA from 1 species